GAUGUUGUAUAGGUGACAUAAUACACAACAUUAAACACGUAAAACCAAACUCCAGAGGACAAAUGGAAAAGAAAAGACAACAUGCUGCCGUGUUGUUAGGUGGUUGCUGACUGUACACCGAUGAAGAAGUUAGCUAGACAUUUGAAACAUAUCAUCUGGGCAGUUAUGUCACAAACAGUAACCUUUUGAGGGAGAAAGGCGUGGGCACCUGUUGAACAAGUCGACCUGUGCCGAAGUCUACUGAUCUGUGAUUUCUUCAGAAGGGUGAAGUUGAAAUCGACUCAUUGUAUCCACACUGUGGAAGACAUCAUGAAGAUGUGUGGGCAAUGUGAUGCACCAACAGAGUGACAGAAGGACCCCUGAGAGUGUCCUGAACCUGCCCUGGACAUCGGUGGCAGACUGUGAUUGGCUGAGAUGAGAGGUGGCUGGGACGGGAGACCUCGAAGAUAGAAGUUCUCUAAGAGAGGAAGGAAGGCAGGCCAGUAAAGACAAAUGCAUUACUCAAAAACGGUGUUGCCCAUAGAGAACUCCACUGUUGGCAUGGUGAUCCAAGUGGCUCAUGGGUAGGAAAGUGUGGGCCAGACUCCCUGAG